UGACAGCAUCAUUGUUUUAUGGUAUUGGGUAUUGUUUUCGUCAGUUUUACAGUAUUUUGCAGUCAAAUAUAUUACAAAAAUAGUUUUUUUCAAAGCUAAACGUCUCUUGGCAUUAUUACUUUCAAAAUUAUGCCUGGAAGUAUUCUUAAUUCACAAACACAACAAUUUGUGUUGAACUUGUGCGAAUAUUUUGAAAGGGAGAGAGCGCAUGGAGGACCAUUGUUACCAUUUUCAUCUGUUCAAGAGAGAGUUGCAGAUGCUCUUGAAAUAUCUCAAAA